UAAGGUUGUAGGCUGGAAUUUUAGGUAAAUCCGGAAUUCUAAGGCCGAGAACCGAUGACGAUUAUUUCUAUGAAAUAAGAAGUGGUUGAUGCCAUGCUUCCAGGAAAAACUUCUAAGCUUCAGGUAGCAAGGAAUCGUACCGUAAACCGACACAGGUGGGUGGGUAGAGAAUACCAAGGCGCUUGAGAGAACUCUGGUGAAGGAACUAGGCAAAAUGGUACCGUAACUUCGGGAGAAGGUACGCCCUCAUUACGUGAAUGGACUUGCUCCAGGAGCGGAAGAGGGUCGAAGAUACCAGAUGGCUGCGACUGUUUACUAAAAACACAGCACUCUGCUAACACGAAAGUGGACGUAUAGGGUGUGACGCCUGCCCGGUGCCGGAAGGUUAAUUGAUCGGGUUAGCCCUUUUGGGCGAAGCUCGUGAUCGAAGCCCCGGUGAACGGCGGCCGUAACUAUAACGGUCCUAAGGUAGCGAAAUUCCUUGUCGGGUAAGUUCCGACCUGCACGAAUGGCGUAACGAUGGCCAUACUGUCUCCACCAGAGACUCAGUGAAAUUGAAUUUGCGGUGAAGAUGCCGUAUACGCGCGGCUAGACGGAAAGACCCCGUGCACCUUUACUAUAGCUUCACACUGGACUUUGAAUUUAUUUGUGUAGGAUAGGUGGGAGACUUUGAAGCGUAGGCGCCAGCUUACGUGGAGUCAUCCUUGAAAUACCACCCUUGUACAUUUGGAGUUCUAACUUUAAUCCGUUAUCCGGAUUGAGGACAGUGUGUGGUGGGUAGUUUGACUGGGGCGGUCUCCUCCUAAAGAGUAACGGAGGAGUGCGAAGGUAACCUCAGCACGGUCGGACAUCGUGCAUUGAGUGCAAUGGCAUAAGGUUGCUUAACUGCGAGACUGACAAGUCGAGCAGGUACGAAAGUAGGUCAUAGUGAUCCGGCGAUUCUGUAUGGAAGGGUCGUCGCUCAACGGAUAAAAGGUACGCCGGGGAUAACAGGCUUAUACCCCCCAAGAGUUCACAUCGACGGGGGUGUUUGGCACCUCGAUGUCGGCUCAUCACAUCCUGGGGCUGGAGCAGGUCCCAAGGGUAUGGCUGUUCGCCAUUUAAAGUGGUACGCGAGCUGGGUUUAGAACGUCGUGAGACAGUUCGGUCCCUAUCUGCCGUGCGCGUUGGAAAUUUGAGAAGAGUUGCUCCUAGUACGAGAGGACCGGAGUGAACGAACCUCUGGUGUUCGGGUUGUCACGCCAGUGGCAUUGCCCGGUAGCUAUGUUCGGAAAGGAUAACCGCUGAAAGCAUCUAAGCGGGAAGCCUCCUUCAAGACUAGAUUUCCCUGAACCUUCGGGUUCUUUAAGAGCCGUUCAAGACUAGGACGUUGAUAGGCAGGGUGUGUAAGCGCUGUAAGGCGUUGAGCUAACCUGUACUAAUUGCUCGAUUGGCUUGACCUU
rnacentral:rRNA from 1 species